rnacentral:rRNA from 1 species
AGUGAACGCUGGCGGUAGGCCUAACACAUGCAAGUCGAACGGCAGCACAGUAAGAGCUUGCUCUUACGGGUGGCGAGAGGCGGACGGGUGAGGAAUACAUCGGAAUCUACUUUUUCGUGGGGGAUAACGUAGGGAAACUUACGCUAAUACCGCAUACGACCUACGGGUGAAAGCAGGGGAUCUUCGGACCUUGCGCGAUUGAAUGAGCCGAUGUCGGAUUAGCUAGUUGGCGGGGUAAAGGCCCACCAAGGCGACGAUCCGUAGCUGGUCUGAGAGGAUGAUCAGCCACACUGGAAGUGAGACACGGUCCAGACUCCUACGGGAGGCAGCAGUGGGGAAUAUUGGACAAUGGGCGCAAGCCUGAUCCAGCCAUACCGCGUGGGUGAAGAAGGCCUUCGGGUUGUAAAGCCCUUUUGUUGGGAAAGAAAAGCAGCAGGUUAAUACCCCGCUGUUCUGACGGUACCCAAAGAAUAAGCACCGGCUAACUUCGUG